rnacentral:rRNA from 1 species
UGGGGAAUAUUGGACAAUGGGCGCAAGCCUGAUCCAGCCAUACCGCGUGGGUGAAGAAGGCCUUCGGGUUGUAAAGCCCUUUUGUUGGGAAAGAAAAGCAGUCGGUUAAUACCCGAUUGUUCUGACGGUACCCAAAGAAUAAGCACCGGCUAACUUCGUGCCAGCAGCCGCGGUAAUACGAAGGGUGCAAGCGUUACUCGGAAUUACUGGGCGUAAAGCGUGCGUAGGUGGUUGUUUAAGUCUGUCGUGAAAGCCCUGGGCUCAACCUGGGAAUUGCGAUGGAAACUGGGCGACUAGAGUGUGGCAGAGGGUAGUGGAAUUCCUGGUGUAGCAGUGAAAUGCGUAGAGAUCAGGAGGAACAUCCGUGGCGAAGGCGACUGCCUGGGCCAACACUGACACUGAGGCACGAAAGCGUGGGGAGCAAACAGGAUUAGAUACCCUGGUAGUCCACGCCCUAAACGAUGCGAACUGGAUGUUGGGUGCAAUUUGGCACGCAGUAUCGAAGCUAACGCGUUAAGUUCGCCGCCUGGGGAGUACGGUCGCAAGACUGAAACUUAAAUGAAUUGAC